GGGUCUGGGGUGUGAGUGAGUGCCAGAGUUUGGGUAGUGGAUGGAGGGGUGGCGGGUAGCUCAACGACGGGGACAGAGAGUCAGCAAGGGGUAAGGCAUUAGAAGUCGAGGGAGAGUGCUGGAGUGGGAGGGGAAGCAGGGAUGGAGAUCGCGCUCCUGAGUGUGCGGGACGAGAAGGGGCGGGGAAGGUCAGCUUGGGCCAGCGGCUUCACGUGCUCCUCCGCGAGCUCGAUCAGCACGAGCGCCCGCUCGGCCGGAAUCCGCUGCAGCCUCCGCCUACGCCUCCGCACCCUGAGUGGCCGCCGCUGCGGGACGGGACGGACCGGAGUGGGCGCCACUCUGUGCGGCAGGGCGCAGUGGGCGCGGGUCGAGCUCAUGCUUCCGCACCUCGUUCUACCGCCCCGGCGGCACCGGCACCGCCGCCCAACACCACCAGCUAGAGCCGCUCCGCCGCUGCUGACGCCGAGGUACCGCUCGCGCUCCUCCCUCGCCGCCUCCAACCACGCGGUGCCUCCUUCAACUUCUCGCUCCCGCACUCCCCGACCGGUAGGAGCGCUUCGGCCACCUUUCCCCCGAAGCUAGGACAGACUACGUUAAUAAGAACCCCAAGGACAUAUUCUCUAUAUAGAUGCCACGAGUCGAGUCGGAUGGAAGCUAAGCAUGCCGCAGCGGGUACCUAGGAGUAUAGGAACAGCGGGUACUCACUACCUGCGACAUACCAAUACGUCACGACGACCACACUUCCAAUAAUGGGAAAUACCAAAUAAAAAGAAACUAGUAUAGAAGAAAGGUAGAUAUAGAUGAAGUUUAUAAGAAAGGUACCUUAGAGUUGGCUAACCCAAACAUUAUCCUCCAAACCUAGUACGUCAAACGUCUAUAAGUCAAUAUUUUAUAAACACCAAGUAGUCAAGGAAAACACGUACAACAGUUCUUACACAGUAUACUCGGUUCUAAGUUUGCGAAGACCUACACUUAAACUGUUUUGCCUAGUAGAAUCCUACUCACAGGACUUCUUAGCCUUCUACGACGUUUUGUACUACUACACUAUGACGGUACGAUAAAGAUGACCAGAGAGACGAUCACGGAAUAGCGAGCAAGUGGUUAGAGGUAGGAGUGGUACCAGAGACAUGAGUUGUUCCCACUUGAGAUGUUCAAGAUCAUCCGAGGAGCCACUGAGGAGUGUCCUCUCGAAAACCGGACUAGACUACCUCGACUCUCCA
rnacentral:rRNA from 1 species